rnacentral:lncRNA from 1 species
UAUUGUUAAUACUGUUUUUCCACAUGGGGCAAUUGAAAUUAAAGACCCAAAGAACGGUGUCACGUUUAAAGUUAAUGGUCAAAGAUUAAAGCCAUAUCUAGAAUACCAACCACAUGGAGAAGACACCGAAAUAAAUUUGAGUGACCCACCAGAUUUGAAUUGAUUUUUUUUUUCUUUCUUUUCGUUGAUUUGAUUUUGUUUUCUUUCUUUAUAUUAUUCUUUUGCUAAUUGAAAUUAUUUUUGCAUAAGUGUGUUUGUUUAACAAUUAAGUUUUCUCUUAUCAUUUUUAAUCAUGAGUACCAUACUUAGACCGUUCCUCCUGAACAUUCUUAAACCACUUCAACGAGUCAAAACUCAUCUCAAAAGGCAGAUUCAAUUUUGUAAAACACAACGCAUUUGGGCUCUACAACCACCAGAGUUAGUAGCCUAUGUUGAGG